rnacentral:rRNA from 1 species
GAUGAACGCUGGCGGCGUGCCUAAUACAUGCAAGUCGAGCGAACAGACGAGGAGCUUGUUCCUCUGACGUUAGCGGCGGACGGGUGAGUAACACGUGGAUAACCUACCUUUAAGACUGGGAUAACUUCGGGAAACCGGAGCUAAUACCGGAUAAUAUAUUUAACCGCAUGGUUCAAUAGUGAAAGACGGUUUUGCUGUCACUUAUAGAUGGAUCCGCGUCGCAUUAGCUAGUUGGUAAGGUAACGGCUUACAAAGGCAACGAUGCGUAGCCGACCUGAGAGGGUGAUCGGCCACACUGGAACUGAGACACGGUCCAGACUCCUACGGGAGGCAGCAGUAGGGAAUCUUCCGCAAUGGGCGAAAGCCUGACGGAGCAACGCCGCGUGAGUGAUGAAGGUCUUCGGAUCGUAAAACUCUGUUAUUAGGGAAGAACAAAUGUGUAAGUAACUAUGCACGUCUUGACGGUACCUAAUCAGAAAGCCACGGCUAACUACGUG